UACGGAAGGGGCAAGCGUUGUUCGGAAUCAUUGGGCGUAAAGGGCGCGUAGGUGGUUCUGUAUGUCUACCGUGAAAGCGUACGGCUCAACCGUAUUUUGUCGGUGGAAACUGCAGGACUUGAGGCUGGGAGGGGUUGGUGGAAUUCCCUGUGUAGCGGUGAAAUGCGUAGAGAUGGGGGGAGAACACUCGUGGCGAAGGCGGCCAGCUAGACCAGUUCUGACACUGAGGCGCGACAGCGUGGGGAGCAAACAGG
rnacentral:rRNA from 1 species